UUCCUUGUUAACUGUUGUCUGUCAUUAAUAAAGCAAUUAUAAAAAUACACAUAAUGACAACAGAUUUAUCUUUACAAAUGUUCGCAAAAUUUUUGAUUUGGAUACAAAAAACCAAGUGAAAAUGAUACUGGAAAGACUGUUUACCGUUUAACUCCUGUCCCAAUCUAACCUAGUGGGUUCAAAAAUAAGGGACCGCGCUGGAAACAUGAGUGGAUUAAAAGGAUCAGCCCUUUUUGAAUUAAUAAUCAAAGUAGUAACCAGCUAGAAGUCGUAACCUGCUCUUAUGAAAGGAUUUCUCGACGUGAAAUUGUUAAUUUUAUUCAACAACGCCAAGAAACAGAGCUCGCUCAAGAAACAGAAAAGAAAGAGAAAGAUGAAAAAAUAUUCUGUUGAACAAUACUGUUGUUUUAUUUAUAAAUUAUUCUCCUAUAUUU